CGAAGUGGGGCGCCAUUGUUCUUGCCGGGGCCGGUGUCCCAACUAGUCGUUGUUUGGUGUUUUAUUUCUUGGUUCGUGAAUAAUCGCCAGAAUGUCGGAGGGCUAUGGUGGUGGUGGCUAUGGCAGCCAGGGAAAUGGUGGCUAUGGAGGAGGUGGCUAUGGGUCCAGUGGUGACAGAUAUGGUGGUGGCGGGAGCACUGGUGGUUAUGAGAGAAGAGGCUCAUAUGACAGAGG